CCAUGUGAUGACCCCAAUUGAAUCUCGUUCGGCUGAACCUGCUGUUGAGAAACAACCACUGAUCCCA